rnacentral:lncRNA from 1 species
UGAACAUAGCAGCAUCGCAAUUGACCUUCACAUAAACAGCAGCAUCUGUAGCCCAAUGUUCAGAAUUAUCAGUUACAUCAACCGAUAUUGGAUCAACAAAUGACCCCAAAAGAUGAACAAUUGUAUGUCGUGAAAGGUGAGCUCUUAUGAUAUUCACCACCGUGCCAUAUCUAAUACAAGCCUUACGGAUUAUCCGAAAUAUCAUGUAACUCCUUCUUAUAAACGUUACUGAGACCCAUAACAAAACACACAGAAACAUCAAAACACACACAAAAUCCCAAAAAGAUGGGCACGACCUUGAUGACAAGGUACUCAACAAGAACUCAUCCAAAAGUAUUAAAUCUUGGCUUUAUUGAUAAAACUAAUAUAUAUGAGAGAAGAUGAAAGAAAGAAGAUGAUUAAUGAGUAGGGAGAUGAAAGAUGAAGAGCGGGGAAGUGGAAGUUAGAACUUGGAGUCGACUCUCAAAACUGCAAACCCUGUUCGUUAUUUGAUAUAUAUUGUCACUAAGAUUUUGGUUUAAGGUGUUCCGGGACUCUAUCACAAGGAAUUUUAGACAAAUCUCAUACAUAAAACAACACUAACCCAUCUUUUGAUCCAUACAUAAGCUGCACACAGAACAAUCCUAACGUGCAGCAAGUCAAUGUAUUCACUAUCACAUGCUCAGCAGUUUUAUCAGAUACAAUUUAGUGAGUUGUUACUCCUUACUUGCCUCUACACUGUCUGAUCUCAACAAUCUUCAAAAUUCUAACACAAAGUUACUAAAAUUUAGUGCGAAUUAUGCCCAAGAUACUACUAACCGCAAUGUCUUUGCAAUUUCAAACCUCAAGUCCAGCAAUGCUUUCCAUGAUUACCUUGUGAAUAUUUUGACAGCUUUCUCCGAGCCCAUAAAUUUCUUUGGAACAAAAAAGCACUUUUUUUCUUAGAGUACAUAUAGCUUUCCUAUAUUCAGGGAAAUUAAGCAAACCAUUAUCAAGAAAUGAAAGUAGCUACUGCAACAUCAAAGUUUCCAGUACCAGUACUGUGUCUACAAAUUUAAUACAUGCCCAUAUAUAACAUAUCAAAUCAGAAUUAUGGAAGAGAGCUUAGGAGAAAUAAUGAUACAUACCAGAGGAGAAUAGUUGAGAAUGAUGCAGAAGCUUCCCCAUUAACAAAGGUUGAUGGUUGCAGACUUGGGUAAGAGAGUGAAUUGACUGUAGCAGCCAUUUCUUCUUCAACCAACUGAACUGCAUAAUCA